GCGCCCGUAGCUCAGCGGUGGAGCGGCCGGCUCAUAACCGGUUGGUCGUAGGUUCGAAUCCUGCCGGGCGCACCA
rnacentral:tRNA from 1 species